rnacentral:rRNA from 1 species
GAUGAACGCUGACAGAAUGCUUAACACAUGCAAGUCAACUUGAAAUUCGGUUUGGGUGGCGGACGGGUGAGUAACGCGUAAAGAACUUGCCUCACAGAUAGGGACAACAUAUGGAAACGAAUGCUAAUACCUGAUAUUAUGAUUAUAUGGCAUCGCAUAAGUAUGAAAGCGAUAUGCGCAGUGAGAGAGCUUUGCGUCCCAUUAGCUAGUUGGAGAGGUAACGUCUCACCGAGGCGAUGAUGGGUAGCCGUGCUGAGAGGGUGAUCCGCAACGGGGGUACGGUGACGCCGAGCUUACUCCGACGGGAAGCAGCAGUGAAGAAUGUAGGACAAUGGACCGACAGUCUCAUCAAGCACGUGUGUGUGAAGAAUGAAGUUUUUCGGAAUAUAACGUUCUUUCAGUAGGAAACAAAAGUGUGACGGUUCCAUAAGAAGACAUGACCUCUCUAUAUG